CGUGUUUUGUUUGUUUUUUAUUUAAACUUUUCUUUUUCAAAGGGACUGAAUGAAGCUAUCCAGUGCAUUCUUUUGAAAUUAUUAUCUAACUUCUGUGUCUUUUCACUGAUGAAGCAGUGGAUCCAUUUGAGGCUCUCAUCUGGCAAAGGAAGGUUUAGUGGGCCUUCAUACUUAAUGGCAACCUUUACUUAAGUUUUUUUCCUCUCAAAAGUUUCUUAAAAGUAAAGAAUGUUAAAGUUGGUUUAUGGUGGUAUUUUUGCUAGCUAAGGCUAAGGGUAUAAUUGUGGAUUAAGCAUGAUUAGGCUUUUUUUUUUUUUUUUGAGGAGCAUAAAUAUUUAGUAUAUAAUCUCCUUCCUUAAGAUCUAAUUUAUUUAAUACAGUCCUAAGUGAAAUAGGUUUUCUAUUUCAUCUGAAGGUUAGGACUUAAUAAGUAUGCUUAAAUUUUUGUUUCAUGGGUUUCUCUUCAUUAUUUAAAACCUUGUUGCUAGCAUUUUUGUUUAAAAAUUGAUGUUCCUUAUUUUAGUGUCAAGCAGUGUCAUUUUAUUCACUUUUCUUCCUGUUCCAGCCUUAGAAUUCUUGCUCUAGUUAGUGAAUUACACAACUCAACAUUAUAAAGAGACACUGGUAUAAUAUUUGCAAAUCUUACUAGGCGUGGGAGUUAAAGUAGCCCUAAAUAGGUAGUUCUCAUAUAUAAAACUUAAGGGAUCACUUUUUUGAUCAUAACUGAAACAUCUUUUGUAGUCCCUUGUGACAGUCAUUUUUUUAUAGUAUUUGAUAACCCUCUUGUAAUACCAGAGAUUCUGGGAUAUACUUACUUGCACUUUAACCUUGAUUAAAAAAAUAAAUACUGUACUAUUUCAAUAAGAUGCCCUUCUUUUUUGUGGCUUUAAGUUUUGAGAACCACAUGACACUGACAGAAGGAAAACAAGGAUAUACUUUUUUGUAUGAAAAAGUUGUAUUAUUUUGUUUUCUAACUUUACCCCAGUGGUUGUUUUUUGGGUUUGGGUUUUUUGGUUAUUGUUGUUUUUUUUUUUUUGUUUUGUUUUGUUUUGUUUUGGUUGCU
rnacentral:lncRNA from 1 species